UACGAAGGGGGCUAGCGUUGCUCGGAAUCACUGGGCGUAAAGCGCACGUAGGCGGGCUCUUAAGUCGGUGGUGAAAUCCUGGAGCUCAACUCCAGAACUGCCUUCGAUACUGAGAGUCUCGAGUCCGGGAGAGGUGAGUGGAACUGCGAGUGUAGAGGUGAAAUUCGUAGAUAUUCGCAAGAACACCAGUGGCGAAGGCGGCCCACUGGCCCGGUACUGACGCUGAGGUGCGAAAGCGUGGGGAGCGAACAGG
rnacentral:rRNA from 1 species